AAUCAACGCUGGCGGCGUGCCUAACACAUGCAAGUCGAACGCGAAAAGGGCUUCGGCUCUUAGUAGAGUGGCAAACGGGUGAGUAACACGUGGGUGACCUACCUUCGAAUGGGGGAUAACGUCCCGAAAGGGACGCUAAUACCGCAUAACAUCCUGCCUUUGAACAGGUGGAGAUCAAAGCCGGGGAUCGCAAGACCUGGCGUUUGAAGAGGGGCCCGCGUCUGAUUAGCUAGNGGUGAGGUAACGGCUCACCAAGGCGACGAUCAGUAUCCGGCCUGAGAGGGCGGACGGACACACCGGGACUGAGACACGGCCCAGACUCCUACGGGAGGCAGCAGUGGGGAAUUGUUCGCAACGGGCGCAAGCCUGACGACGCAACGCCGCGUGGAGGAUGAAGGUCUUCGGAUUGUAAACUCCUGUUGCCCGGGACGAAAGCUUCGACCUAAUACGUCGGAGUCUGACGGUACCGGGUGA
rnacentral:rRNA from 1 species